rnacentral:rRNA from 1 species
UACGUAGGGGGCAAACGUUGUCCGGAUUUAUUGGGCGUAAAGAGCGUGUAGGCGGCUAGGUAGGUCCGUUGUGAAAACUCGAGGCUCAACCUCGAGACGCCGAUGGAAACCAUCUAGCUAGAGUCCGGAAGAGGAGAGUGGAAUUCCUGGUGUAGCGGUGAAAUGCGCAGAUAUCAGGAAGAACACCCGUGGCUAAGGCGGCUCUCUAGUACGGUACUGACGCUGAGACGCGAAAGCGUGGGGAGCGAACAGG